rnacentral:misc_RNA from 1 species
GAAAUGCGAUAAGUAAUGUGAAUUGCAGAAUUCAGUGAAUCAUCGAAUCUUUGAACGCACCUUGCGAUCCUUGGUAUUCCUUGGAGAAUGCCUGUUUGAGUAUCAUGAAAUCUUCAAAGUAAAUCUUUUGUUAACUCAAUUGGUUUCUACUUUGGUAUUGGAGGUCUUUGCAGCUUCACACCUGCUCCUCUUUGUUCAUUAGCUGGAUCUCAGUGUUAUGCUUGGUUCCACUCGGCGUGAUAAGUUAUCUAUCGCUGAGGACACUGUAAAAGGUGGCCAAGGUAAAUGCAGAUGAACCGCUUCUAAUAGUCCAUUGACUUGGACAAUACUUUUAUGAUCUGAUCUCAAAUCAGGUAGGACUACCCGCUGAACUUAAGC